GCGCGAUUCCUAGUGAUUAGAGUUUGAUCAUGGCUCAGAUUGAACGCUGGCGGCAUGCCUUACACAUGCAAGUCGAACGGCAGCACGGGUGCUUGCACCUGGUGGCGAGUGGCGAACGGGUGAGUAAUACAUCGGAACAUGUCCUGUAGUGGGGGAUAGCCCGGCGAAAGCCGGAUUAAUACCGCAUACGAUCUACGGAUGAAAGCGGGGGACCUUCGGGCCUCGCGCUAUAGGGUUGGCCGAUGGCUGAUUAGCUAGUUGGUGGGGUAAAGGCCUACCAAGGCGACGAUCAGUAGCUGGUCUGAGAGGACGACCAGCCACACUGGGACUGAGACACGGCCCAGACUCCUACGGGAGGCAGCAGUGGGGAAUUUUGGACAAUGGGCGAAAGCCUGAUCCAGCAAUGCCGCGUGUGUGAAGAAGGCCUUCGGGUUGUAAAGCACUUUUGUCCGGAAAGAAAUCCUUGGCUCUAAUACAGUCGGGGGAUGACGGUACCGGAAGAAUAAGCACCGGCUAACUACGUGCCAGCAGCCGCGGUAAUACGUAGGGUGCGAGCGUUAAUCGGAAUUACUGGGCGUAAAGCGUGCGCAGGCGGUUUGCUAAGACCGAUGUGAAAUCCCCGGGCUCAACCUGGGAACUGCAUUGGUGACUGGCAGGCUAGAGUAUGGCAGAGGGGGGUAGAAUUCCACGUGUAGCAGUGAAAUGCGUAGAGAUGUGGAGGAAUACCGAUGGCGAAGGCAGCCCCCUGGGCCAAUACUGACGCUCAUGCACGAAAGCGUGGGGAGCAAACAGGAUUAGAUACCCUGGUAGUCCACGCCCUAAACGAUGUCAACUAGUUGUUGGGGAUUCAUUUCCUUAGUAACGUAGCUAACGCGUGAAGUUGACCGCCUGGGGAGUACGGUCGCAAGAUUAAAACUCAAAGGAAUUGACGGGGACCCGCACAAGCGGUGGAUGAUGUGGAUUAAUUCGAUGCAACGCGAAAAACCUUACCUACCCUUGACAUGGUCGGAAUCCCGCUGAGAGGUGGGAGUGCUCGAAAGAGAACCGGCGCACAGGUGCUGCAUGGCUGUCGUCAGCUCGUGUCGUGAGAUGUUGGGUUAAGUCCCGCAACGAGCGCAACCCUUGUCCUUAGUUGCUACGCAAGAGCACUCUAAGGAGACUGCCGGUGACAAACCGGAGGAAGGUGGGGAUGACGUCAAGUCCUCAUGGCCCUUAUGGGUAGGGCUUCACACGUCAUACAAUGGUCGGAACAGAGGGUUGCCAACCCGCGAGGGGGAGCUAAUCCCAGAAAACCGAUCGUAGUCCGGAUUGCACUCUGCAACUCGAGUGCAUGAAGCUGGAAUCGCUAGUAAUCGCGGAUCAGCAUGCCGCGGUGAAUACGUUCCCNGGGUCUUGUAGACACCGC
rnacentral:rRNA from 1 species